GACGGGGUUUCACCUUGUUAGCCAGGAUGGUCUCGAUCUCCUGACCUCGUGAUCCACCCGCCUCGGCCUCCCAAAGUGCUGGGAUUACAGGCGUGAGCCACCGCGCCCAGCCUGUAAGCCUAAAUUUUUGUGGCUGUGGGAUGGACAAGGACCCAGUCUUUAGCUGAACUAAGGAAAAGUCCUGCAACAAUAAAUUUCAGAAGUUUGAUCUUAACAGAUGAGGAGACUGAAGCCCACAGAGAUCUGAUAGAAAACAGCUGGAUGUGCUAACAGAGCAUCAGACUUGGAAUCAGGUGGAUCCUAGAUUGGCUACUUCCUAACCUCAGAAAAGUGACAUAAUGUCUAUGGUGAAGUCAUCCAUCUGAAACACAAUGCAGUGAAAUCCACUUUAAAUUUUGAUUGUGAAAGCUUUACUGAGGUUUAUUUGAUACACAAUGAUCGUAUCAUUAUGGCUACAAGAAAAGUAAUCAACAAAGUAUACACUUGGAUAAAUGUUGACAUAAGUAUAUACCUGUAAAACUAUCACUACAAUCAAGAUAAUGAACAUGUCCACGUGCUCCCAAAGUUUCUGCACAAUCCUUCCCAUCCUUCCUUGUUCUUGGAACUGCUAAUCAACUAUAGGUUAGUUUGCAUUUUCUGGAAUUUUAUAUUAAUAGAAUCAUAUAGUGUGGACUCUCUUUGGAGUUUAGUUUCCUUCACUUGGCAUAAUUAUUUUGAGAUUCACCCUUGUUGUGGCAUGUAUCAAUAGUUUAUUCUUAUUUAUUGCUGACUAGUAUUUCAUUGUAUGGGCAUACCACAGUAUGUUUAUUCCUUCAGCUCGUGGUGGAUAUUUAUAUUGUUUCCAGCUUUUUGCCUAUUGUUUUUAAAAGCUGCUAUAAAAAUUGUAUUCAUGUCUUUGCAUGAACAUAUGCUUUUAUUUAUCUUGAGUAAAUGCCUAGGAGUAGAGUGGCUGUAUCAUAAGGUAGAUGUAUAUUUAACUGUUUACGAAACUUGCUGACCAUUUUCCAAUGUGGUUGUAUACUUUACAUUCCCACCAGCAAUGUAUGGGAGUCUAUUCCUCCACAUUCACACCAAUGCUCGAUAUGGUCAGUCUUUAAUUUUAGCCAUUCUAAAAUGUUUGUAGAGUAUCUCAUUGUGUUUUUAAUUUUAAUUAAAUUUCUGAAAUAACAAA